rnacentral:rRNA from 1 species
AACGUGGGGAACCUGCCCCAUAGUCUGGGAUACCACUUGGAAACAGGUGCUGAUACCGGAUAAGAAAGCGGAUCGCAUGAUCAGCUUUUAAAAGGCGGCGUAAGCUGUCGCUAUGGGAUGGCCCCGCGGUGCAUUAGCUAGUUGGUAAGGUAAAGGCUUACCAAGGCGAUGAUGCAUAGCCGAGUUGAGAGACUGAUCGGCCACAUUGGGACUGAGACACGGCCCAAACUCCUACGGGAGGCAGCAGCC